GAUAAACGCUGGCGGCGUGCCUAAUACAUGCAAGUCGAGCGAACGGACGAGAAGCUUGCUUCUCUGAUGUUAGCGGCGGACGGGUGAGUAACACGUGGAUAACCUACCUAUAAGACUGGGAUAACUUCGGGAAACCGGAGCUAAUACCGGAUAAUAUUUUGAACCGCAUGGUUCAAAAGUGAAAGACGGUCUUGCUGUCACUUAUAGAUGGACCCGCGCUGCAUUAGCUAGUUGGUAAGGUAACGGCUUACCAAGGCAACGAUGCAUAGCCGACCUGAGAGGGUGAUCGGCCACACUGGAACUGAGACACGGUCCAGACUCCUACGGGAGGCAGCAGUAGGGAAUCUUCCGCAAUGGGCGAAAGCCUGACGGAGCAACGCCGCGUGAGUGAUGAAGGUCUUCGGAUCGUAAAACUCUGUUAUUAGGGAAGAACAUAUGUGUAAGUAACUGUGCACAUCUUGACGGUACCUAAUCAGAAAGCCACGGCUAACUACGUGCCAGCAGCCGCGGUAAUACGUAGGUGGCAAGCGUUAUCCGGAAUUAUUGGGCGUAAAGCGCGCGUAGGCGGUUUUUUAAGUCUGAUGUGAAAGCCCACGGCUCAACCGUGGAGGGUCAUUGGAAACUGGAAAACUUGAGUGCAGAAGAGGAAAGUGGAAUUCCAUGUGUAGCGGUGAAAUGCGCAGAGAUAUGGAGGAACACCAGUGGCGAAGGCGACUUUCUGGUCUGUAACUGACGCUGAUGUGCGAAAGCGUGGGGAUCAAACAGGAUUAGAUACCCUGGUAGUCCACGCCGUAAACGAUGAGUGCUAAGUGUUAGGGGGUUUCCGCCCCUUAGUGCUGCAGCUAACGCAUUAAGCACUCCGCCUGGGGAGUACGACCGCAAGGUUGAAACUCAAAGGAAUUGACGGGGACCCGCACAAGCGGUGGAGCAUGUGGUUUAAUUCGAAGCAACGCGAAGAACCUUACCAAAUCUUGACAUCCUUUGACAACUCUAGAGAUAGAGCCUUCCCCUUCGGGGGACAAAGUGACAGGUGGUGCAUGGUUGUCGUCAGCUCGUGUCGUGAGAUGUUGGGUUAAGUCCCGCAACGAGCGCAACCCUUAAGCUUAGUUGCCAUCAUUAAGUUGGGCACUCUAAGUUGACUGCCGGUGACAAACCGGAGGAAGGUGGGGAUGACGUCAAAUCAUCAUGCCCCUUAUGAUUUGGGCUACACACGUGCUACAAUGGACAAUACAAAGGGCAGCGAAACCGCGAGGUCAAGCAAAUCCCAUAAAGUUGUUCUCAGUUCGAAUUGUAGUCUGCAACUCGACUACAUGAAGCUGGAAUCGCUAGUAAUCGUAGAUCAGCAUGCUACGGUGAAUACGUUCCCGGGUCU
rnacentral:rRNA from 1 species